rnacentral:lncRNA from 1 species
UUUUUUUUUUUUUAAGAUUUUAUUUAUUUAUUCAUGAGAGACAGAGAGAGGCAGACACACAGGCAAAGGGAGAAUUAGGCUCCCUGCAGGGAGCCCUGACGCAGUACUCCAUCCCUGGACCAGAUCACUAUUCGAGACAAAGGCAGAUGUUCAACAGCUGAGCCACCCAGUCAUCUCUUGAGUAGCUAUUUUAAUCAUGUUCUCAGUCCCUCUCUGUCGUGGAUAAAGCAUUUGCAAAACUAUUAAAGAUUCUAAUGCCAACUUCUCUUAAAAUUAUUUUGUUCAAUAAAGGGUAUCCUAAGAGAUACUAUUUUGAGAGCAAGCAUCUUAACAAUUUAUCAUGUACCUUAACUGUAAGAAUAUGUUUGUUUUACUAGGACAGGUACAGAAUCUACAUGGUUCCCUGUGGCAUAUUCAGUAUUUACACAAUGGCAUACAUGGGAAGCAUUUCAAAAAAUGUUAAAUAAGUGAACAAGAUAAUCAAUGUCUGUCCUACCUAUCAAGAAACCCAAUUGGGAUCUAUUAUGUGUCCUGAGUAAUUCCUUCAAGCAUUAAGAAUCUGUGUGACUGGCUUUUUCUUGCUUAUAUCUAAGUUGAACUCCUGAGUGUGGGCAGUAGAAAUUGCUUCAGUGGGGAUUUAACUGGCUUGAAUUUAUGAGAAUAUUAUUUGCCGUAUUGGAAGGAAUGCCUACUGACUUCCCUGGUUUUCUAAGGAAGCCCAGAUCUCUCAAAAAUGAGUGACAUAUCAAGUUUGCAAUGUUAUGUUGUUUUCAUUGGGAAGGGAUAUACACUUACUUAUCUGGAGUUAAGGAAAGGACCAUUGGCAUAUUCCAACUCUAAGAUAAUGAUGAUGAUCAUUGUAGUAGCAUUUAUAGCACAUCCAUUAUGCACCAGAUACCAAACUGGAUGCUUUGUAUUCCUUAUAUGAUUUAAAUCUAAUAACACAGUAAGGGCCACCUGGUGGCUCAGUCAGUUAAGCAUCAGACUCUUGAUUUCAGAUCAGGUCAUGAUCUUGGGGUUAUGAAAUCAAGCCCCAGAGUGAGCCCCAUUUUGGGCUCUGUACUUAACAGGGACUCUUCUUGAGAUUCUCUCUCUCCC